rnacentral:rRNA from 1 species
GAUGAACGCUGGCGGCGUGCCUAAUACAUGCAAGUCGAGCGAACGGACGAGAAGCUUGCUUCUCUGAUGUUAGCGGCGGACGGGUGAGUAACACGUGGAUAACCUACCUAUAAGACUGGGAUAACUUCGGGAAACCGGAGCUAAUACCGGAUGAUAUUUUGAACCGCAUGGUUCAAAAGUGAAAGACGGUCUUGCUGUCACUUAUAGAUGGAUCCGCGCUGCAUUAGCUAGUUGGUAAGGUAACGGCUUACCAAGGCAACGAUGCAUAGCCGACCUGAGAGGGUGAUCGGCCACACUGGAACUGAGACACGGUCCAGACUCCUACGGGAGGCAGCAGUAGGGAAUCUUCCGCAAUGGGCGAAAGCCUGACGGAGCAACGCCGCGUGAGUGAUGAAGGUCUUCGGAUCGUAAAACCCUGUUAUUAGGGAAGAACAUAUGUGUAAGUAACUGUGCACAUCUUGACGGUACCUAAUCAGAAAGCCACGGCUAACUACG